AGAAACAGCGUAAAUAAUUAUCUAAACAUAAGAACCGUAAAUAAAAUAGUAUGCAAUAAUAUCAGACAGUAACUACCAUAAUAACUACCAUAAGGAAGACACAGUCCAAUACACAAAACAUCUUUGAAUAGCCCUACCAAGCCUCACCCAACCCCGGGUGAGGAGUACAAAAAACUCUAGGAGCCCCUAUCUUACAACCCUAAUACUAGAC
rnacentral:lncRNA from 1 species